UACGUAGGGUGCGAGCGUUGUCCGGAUUUAUUGGGCGUAAAGAGCUCGUAGGCGGUUUGUUGCGUCGGCCGUGAAAACCUGCAGCUUAACUGUGGGCUUGCGGUCGAUACGGGCAGACUUGAGUUCGGUAGGGGAGACUGGAAUUCCUGGUGUAGCGGUGAAAUGCGCAGAUAUCAGGAGGAACACCGGUGGCGAAGGCGGGUCUCUGGGCCGAUACUGACGCUGAGGAGCGAAAGCGUGGGGAGCGAACAGG
rnacentral:rRNA from 1 species